GUUAUCAACAUAAGCUAAGAGAGAGUUGGAUAAUUUGGAAACCAAAGAAAAACGGAAGAAACAGAAGAAACACAACGAGAAAUCUGAUGAGAAUAAGGUCAGAUCCUACAUGAAUUUCUAUUUUUUCUU
rnacentral:sRNA from 1 species